rnacentral:snRNA from 1 species
UCCUGGUCGGAUGCGGAACGG